CUACUGCUAUCGGGGUGGGACUAAAACAUGCUAGUCUAACGUCUCCAAGCCAUGGAGGAGACGUGGCAAACGGCUCAGUAACACGUGGCCAACCUACCCUUGAGACAGGAACAACCCCGGGAAACUGGGGACAAUUCCAGAUAAGCGAGGAACCCUGGAAUGGACCCUCACCCAAAAGACACCAGAACCACGCUUCAGGUGCCGCUCAAGGAUGGAGCCGCGGCCGAUCAGGCAGUUGGUAGGGCAAAGGCCUACCAAACCAAUAACCGGUACGGGCCGUGAGAGCGGAAGCCCGGAGAUGGGAACUGAGACAAGGUCCCAGGCCCUACGGGGCGCAGCAGUUGCGAAAACUCGCCAAUGCACGAAAGUGUGAGCGGGCUACCCCGAGUGCCGUCCGCUGAGGAUGGCUUUUCUCCAGUGUAAGGAGCCGGAGGAAUAAGGAGAGGGCAAGACUGGUGUCAGCCGCCGCGGUAAAACCAGCUCUCCGAGUGGUAGGGAUGAUUAUUGGGCUUAAAGCGUCCGUAGCCAGCCUAACAAGUCUCUCGUCAAAUCCAACGAUCCAAUCGCUGGACCGCGGGAGAUACUGUCAGGCUAGGAGACGGGAGAGGCCGACGGUACUCUUGGGGUAGGGGUGAAAUCCUAUAAUCCCAGGAGGACCACCAGUGGCGAAAGGCUGUCGGCUAGCACGUGCUCGACGGUGAGGGACGAAAGCUUGGGGAAGCGAANCCGGAUUAGAUACCUCGGGUUAGUCCAAGCUGUAAACGAUGCGGGCUAGGUGUUGGGGGUGGCUACGGGCCACUUCAGUGCCGCAGCGAAGGCGUUAAGCCCGCCGCCUGGGGAGUACGGCCCGCAAGGCUGAAACUUAAAGGAAUUGGCGGGGGAGCACCACAAGGGGUGAAGCUUGCGGUUUAAUUGGAGUCAACGCCGGGAAUCUUACCGGGGGCGACAGCAGUAUGAUGGCCAGAUCGAUGGUCUUGCUUGACGAGCUGAGAGGAGGUGCAUGGCCGUCGCCAGUUCGUGCCGUGAGGUGUCCUGUUAAGUCAGGCAACGAUCGAGACCCGCGUCCCUUGUUGCCUCUGAGGAGAGUCUCCGAUGGGCAAGACUAGGGAGACCGCUGCCGAUAAGGCGGAGGAAGGAGCGGGCCACGGCAGGUCAGUAUGCCCCGAAUCCCCCGGGCCACACGCGAGCUGCAAUGGCAGGGACAGUGGGUCCCGACUCCGAGAGGAGGAGGUAAUCUCUAAACCCUGUCGUAGUUGGGAUCGAGGGCUGUAACUCGCCCUCGUGAAUCAUGGAAUCCCUAGUAAUCGCGCGUCAUCAUCGCGCGGUGAAUACGUCCCCGCUCCUUGCACACACCGCCCGUCGUUCCACCCAAGUGGGGUUUGGGUGAGGCGUGGUCUUUUUGGCCAUGUCGAAUCUAGGCUCCGUGAGGGGGG
rnacentral:rRNA from 1 species